rnacentral:rRNA from 1 species
GACGAACGCUGGCGGCGUGCUUAACACAUGCAAGUCGAGCGGUAAGGCCCUUUCGGGGGUACACGAGCGGCGAACGGGUGAGUAACACGUGGGUGACCUGCCUUUAGCUCUGGGAUAAGCCUGGGAAACUGGGUCUAAUACCGGAUACGACUCCGCGGUGCAUGCUGUGGGGUGGAAAGCCUUGUGCGGCUGGAGAUGGGCCCGCGGCCUAUCAGCUUGUUGGUGGGGUGAUGGCCCACCAAGGCGACGACGGGUAGCCGGCCUGAGAGGGCGACCGGCCACACUGGGACUGAGACACGGCCCAGACUCCUACGGGAGGCAGCAGUGGGGAAUCUUGCGCAAAUGGGCGAAAGCCUGACGCAGCGACGCCGCGUGA